AUGAUCAAUGAUAGUAUCAAUCAUCUUUCUAUUGAAAAGUCUUUUAGAAUAAAGCAAGAUGAUAGAUUCUUCUCAAGGCUAAAAUCAAAAGAAGCUUCUAGUGGCAACACUUCAUCAAGAAUCUUGUAUUAUGGAGAAACAUCAAUUGCAAUUCCCUUUGUUUGGGAGGCACAACCUGGUACUCCUAAACACCCUUUGUCUCAAAUCUCUAUACUUCCCCUUACACCUCCACCUUCAUAUUAUUCCAAAAAAUCCAAUACUAAUAAAAAAAGAAAAUCCAAAAUCAAUGUUUUUUCAUGCAUUUUGCCAAGGUUAGUAGGUUCAAGGAAGACUACUCAUACUCAUGCAUCAUCAACAUCGCCAUCAUCUUCAUCAUCGUCUCCGUCUUCGUCGUCGUAUACGUAUUUGAUGAGAGACAACAAUCAUUGA